AAACCAUGAUUUGGAUUUUUUGCAAAUACUCCUUAAAUCUCUCCCAAGCUUCAUAUAAUUGUUCCCCCGGUCGCUGCUUAAAGUCAUAGAACUUGUCACGAAUCU